rnacentral:rRNA from 1 species
UACGUAGGGUGCGAGCGUUGCCCGGAUUUAUUGGGCGUAAAGGGCGCGUAGGCGGCUCGGCACGUCCGUUGUGAAAUCGCCCGGCUCAACUGGGCGGGGUCAGCGGAUACGGUCGAGCUUGAGCAAGCUAGGGGGCAAUGGAAUUCCCGGUGUAGUGGUGGAAUGCGUAGAUAUUGGGAGGAACUCCAGUGGCGAAGGCGGUUGCCUGGAGCUUUGCUGACGCUGAGGCGCGAAAGCGUGGGGAGCAAACAGG